GCGCCUGUAGCUCAGCGGAUAGAGCGUCUGCCUCCGGAGCAGAAGGCCACAGGUUCGAGUCCUGUCAGGCGCGCCA
rnacentral:tRNA from 1 species